rnacentral:lncRNA from 1 species
CACCACCCCUCAGAAAAACCGGGUCCUCACUUUCCUGCGGUUUGCACUCACCAAAUAUAAUUAGCAAUUUGCAUUUCUCCCGCAGGAUUAUUCCAGCCUCUGUGAUCACACACGGAAAGAAGAGCCUUCUUCGUGAGGGUUGGAGAUGGAGGGAGAAGGGAUCGAGAAAAAGGAUGGGAGGGAAGUUGUGGAGCAGAAAACCAACACGCCAGAAAGGAAAAUAAUGAUCAUCUCAAUUUUUACAUGUGGAGGCAUUGCUUUUCUUCUAUGGGGGAUUUUAGGAUUUCCCAGAAAAUGUGGAAUUCCAAGGCACCUUGGAAAUAAGACAUGCCUAGAAAAUUUAACCAUAUGUCCACAAGGCUGGAACUGA